UCGAUCUCAAAUCAGGUAGGACUACCCGCUGAACUUAAGCAUAUCAAUAAGCGGAGGAAAAGAAACUAACAAGGAUUCCCCUAGUAACUGCGAGUGAAGCGGGAAGAGCUCAAAUUUAAAAUCUGGCGUGCCUCUGGCCGUCCGAGUUGUAGUCUGGAGAAGUGUUUUCCGUGUUGGACCGUGUAUAAGUCUCUUGGAACAGGGCGUCAUAGAGGGUGAGAAUCCCGUCUUUGACACGGACUACCAAUGCUUUGUGAUGCGCUCUCAAAGAGUCGAGUUGUUUGGGAAUGCAGCUCAAAAUGGGUGGUAAAUUCCAUCUAAAGCUAAAUAUAGGCGAGAGACCGAUAGCGAACAAGUACCGUGAGGGAAAGAUGAAAAGCACUUUGGAAAGAGAGUUAAACAGUACGUGAAAUUGCUGAAAGGGAAACGCUUGAAGUCAGUCGUGUCUGCCAGGACUCAGCCUUGCUUCUGCUUGGUGUACUUUCUGGUCGGAUGGGCCAACAUCAAUUUUGACCGUUGGAGAAAGGCUUUGGGAAUGUGGCACCUUCGGGUGUGUUAUAGCCCUUUGUUGUAUAC
rnacentral:rRNA from 1 species